rnacentral:rRNA from 1 species
GACGAACGCUGGCGGCGUGCUUAACACAUGCAAGUCGAGCGGAGCGGCGAACGGGUGAGUAACGCGUGAGUAACUGCCCCCCUCUCUGGGAUAACAGUUGGAAACGGCUGCUAAUACCGGAUAGUGGGGGAUGACUCGCGUCCUAUCAGCUUGUUGGUGGGGUAGUGGCCUCCCAAGGCGACGACGGGUAGCCGGCCUGAGCGGGCGACCGGCCAAAUUGGGCUGAGAAACGGGCAGAAUUCCGACGGUAGGCAGCAGGGGGGAAUAGAGCACAAUGGGGGAAACCCAAAUGCAGCAACGCCGCGGGCGGGAGGACGGCCUUCGGGUUGUAAACCGCUUGCAGCCAUGACGCGGUAGUGGCAGAAGAAGCACCGGCUAACUACGUACCAGCAGCCGCGGUAAUUC